rnacentral:rRNA from 1 species
CCUGAUGAAUCAGCAUCGGCUAACUCCGUGCCAGCAGCCGCGGUAAGACGGAGGAUGCAAGCGUUAUCCGGAAUUAUUGGGCGUAAAGCGUCCGCAGGUGGCCUGUUAAGUCUGCUGUUAAAGCCCAGGGCUUAACUCUGGAUCAGCGGUGGAAACUGGCAGGCUAGAGUACGGUAGGGGUAGAGGGAAUUCCUGGUGUAGCGGUGAAAUGCGUAGAUAUCAGGAAGAACACCGGUGGCGGGGGCGCUCUACUGGGCCGUAACUGACACUC